AGGCGGGAAGAGACCUACUCUCCCCUGCUUUACCUUAAGAGGCUGAGACUGGGGCACUGGGGAGGCAGAGCCCAGAAUCCUAAGUGGCUGGAGCACUGGGGGACACCCAGACAGAACUCUCCCUGGACCAAGCCCUCCGAGAGCGGGAUGAAGCCAUUGCCAAGAAACAGGCCGUGGAGGCUGAGCUGGAUACAUGCAAAGCCAAGCUGCGAGCUGUGGAGGCCCAGCUGCUGGAAGUCCUGGAGGAGAAACUGAGACUGAGGCAGGAAGUGGAGGCCUGGGAGGAGGACAUGCAGCAGCUGGUGAGGCAGCGAGUUGAGAUUCAG